rnacentral:rRNA from 1 species
AUUGAACGCUGGCGGCAGGCCUAACACAUGCAAGUCGAACGGUAACAGGAAACAGCUUGCUGUUUCGCUGACGAGUGGCGGACGGGUGAGUAAUGUCUGGGAAACUGGCUGAUGGAGGGGGAUAACUACUGGAAACGGUAGCUAAUACCGCAUAGCGUCGCAAGACCAAAGAGGGGGACCUUCGGGCCUCUUGCCAUCGGAUGCGCCCCGAUGGGCGUUGCUAGUAGGUUGGGUAACGGCUCACCUAGGCGGCGAUCCCUAGCUGGUCUGAGAGGGUGACCAGCCACACGGGAAGUGAGAAGCGAUCCUGAGUCCUACAGGAGGCAGCAGAUGGGAAAAUUGCACAAUGGGGGCAAGCCUGAUGCAGCCAUGGCGCGUGUAUGAAGAAGGCCUUCGGGUUGUAAAGUACUUUCAGCGGGGAGGAAGGGAGUAGAUUUAAUACCUGUGCUCAUUGACGUUACCCGCAGAAGAAGCACCGGCUAACUCCGUG